UACGUAGGAGGCGAGCGUUGUCCGGAGUUACUGGGCGUAAAGGGUGCGCAGGCGGCGGUUCGCGUGGCGAGAUGAAAUCUCCUGGCUUACCUGGGAGGAUGGUCGCCAGACGGGAUCGCUUGAGGGUCGGAGAGGGGCGUGGAAUUCCGGGUGGAGCGGUGAAAUGCGUAGAGAUCCGGAGGAACACCGACGGCGUAGGCAGCGCCCUGGACGACACCUGACGCUGAGGCACGAAAGCCAGGGGAGCGAACGGG
rnacentral:rRNA from 1 species